rnacentral:rRNA from 1 species
GACGAACGCUGGCGGCGUGCUUAACACAUGCAAGUCGAACGGAAAGGCCCUGCUUUUGUGGGGUGCUCGAGUGGCGAACGGGUGAGUAACACGUGAGUAACCUGCCCUUGACUUUGGGAUAACUUCAGGAAACUGGGGCUAAUACCGGAUAGGAGCUCCUGCUGCAUUGUGGGGGUUGGAAAGUUUCGGCGGUUGGGGAUGGACUCGCGGCUUAUCAGCUUGUUGGUGGGGUAGUGGCUUACCAAGGCUUUGACGGGUAGCCGGCCUGAGAGGGUGACCGGCCACAUUGGGACUGAGAUACGGCCCAGACUCCUACGGGAGGCAGCAGUGUGGAAUAUUGCACAAUGGGCGGAAGCCUGAUGCAGCAACGCCGCGUGCGGGAUGACGGCCUUCGGGUUGUAAACCGCUUUCGCCUGUGACGAAGCGUGAGUGACGGUAAUGGGUAAAGAAGCACCGGCUAACUACGUG